rnacentral:rRNA from 1 species
CCUACGGGAGGCAGCAGUGGGGAAUUUUGCGCAAUGGGGGCAACCCUGACGCAGCAACGCCGCGUGCGGGAUGAAGGUCUUCGGAUUGUAAACCGCUUUCAGUAGGGAAUAAGUAUGAAGGUACCUACAGAAGAAGCACCGGCUAAAUACGUGCCAGCAGCCGCGGUAAUACGUAUGGUGCAAGCGUUAUCCGGAAUCAUUGGGCGUAAAGCGCGCGUAGGCGGCUUGUUAAGCAGGAAUUUAAAUCUUAGGGCUCAACCUUAAGUCGGUUCCUGAACUGGCAGGCUCGAGUGCGGUAGAGGAAGGUGGAAUUCCCAGUGUAGCGGUGAAAUGCGCAGAUAUUGGGAAGAACACCGAUGGCGAAGGCAGCCUUCUGGGCCGCCACUGACGCUGAGGCGCGAAAGCUAGGGGAGCGAACAGGAUU